UGGUUAAGUGUGUACAAUGCG
rnacentral:misc_RNA from 1 species